CUGGAUUAGGUCGUGUUGGAAAUCGAGAUCGGAGCAAAGUCGAAACGGAAACAAGAACACGAGAGAUUUAACGUGGUUCGGCGUAAGCCUACAUCCACGGGAGAGUAACGGAUCGAUUUACUUCAAUCACGAUCAAGAACUACAAUCAUACAACAAGAUCACACACUCAAGAACAAGCUACUCUCUCUUCGCAUAUGAACUCACAUCAAACCGAAGACUAUACAAGCUAGUUCCUCACAAAGAUAAACCUGGAGAUAUUCUCUCACUGAUCUAUGCGGCUUGCAUGAGCAUUUAUAGGAAUCGCAUCACCUCAUGCAGUUGCAACUGCCGCUGUAGCCGUUGCACAACUAAAUCUUGAACUCUUUCUUCUUGAUCAUGUGUUGCACACUCCACGCUCGGUUCCGAUGUACCAUCACUCGUUGUUAUCAUCACAAAAUUCCUAACAAUCCUCCACCUUUUGAGAUGAUACAACACAUCUUUCGAUCACUUUGUUCUUUGUUGAUCUCAUGUCCGAGUAGCGCCAAUCUUGACUAUUAUUGUCAGCAUCCUGACUCCGAGAAUCAUACCCAGAUCCUCCUUUAUCACUUCCUUGAUCAGCCACAACGCCCCCACCGGACGAUCGCCUCCACCGGACGACAAAACCUCCACCUAAUCUGAAUCUUCCCCGAUUCAGAAUUGGAGUUGCUGAUCCCUAGAGAUAUCACACAUCUCUCAUAAGUGAUAACCAAAUUUCUGUCAAGAUUAUGCCACCUUCACCGCUUAGGAUGACACGGCUGUUGCACCUCUCUCACGGACAAUUCAACAAACAAGGCUUCACAGCCUCCUCCAGAUCGCAUUCCCGCGAGCAUCCAUUGAUCGGCGUGUUGUACGUGAUGAUGUCUGGCCUUAUCCCCGAUCUCCUCACUUCACCAAGAAGCUCAACCUCGGAGACUCAACAACUGAAAACAGCUCACUGACUAAAAACUUCUCUCAGACAUUUCGUCGAACACGCUCUGCUCGAAUUGCCGAGCUUGGUGCCGAACUGCCGAACUGCCGAGCUUAGUACCGAACUGCCGAGCUUGGUACCGAAUUGCCGAGCUUGGUGCCGAACUGCUGAGCUUGGUGCCGAACUGCCGAGCUUAGUACCGAACUGCCGAGCUUGGUGCCGAACUGCCGGACUUGGUGCCGAACUGCUGGACUUGGUGCCGAACUGCUGAGCUUGGUGUCAGCCACUAAAUCCAACGCCCUUCUCGGCAUCCAAGCAAUCAGUGUUCCAGCAUACCUUUUCUCUCACAGGCAUUCGUCAAUUUACUUCUCUUUCAGGCAUUUCGUCGAACACCAUCUUUGCACCAUCCAAGAUGUCUCACCAUCGUCGUCUGCCUCUGAAGCAUCAUCUCAUCAAGGCUCUCAUGGCCUUCAAUAUCCAUCAACAUCAUCAUAGGCUUCGGAAAUGAGUUGCAUACCGCCAUACUCGAUCCCAUUAUGGAUCAUCAGUAUGAGCAACGAUCAUUGAGCGAGCUACACCAACGAUCACCAAGAACUUCCCUCUUUCUUGAUCGAUGAACCUUCGAGCUCUCUCCACAAUGAAUCGCCAAUGCAGAAAACUUCUCAACAAUAUCGCUCAAAGCUGCACGAACCAAAACUGACCACACCGUCGUCCCCUUCAACUGACGUGAUCAAGAACUCAAUCUCCUUCUCCAAAACCGCUGCAUUCGAGACGCUACUUUCAGCAUCUCCCUUCGUUCUUCAUCUCCGACUUCUUCCAACGAUUCUCCUCCUUCCCACAGACGGCGCCACUUGUUGGAAAUCGAGAUCGGAGCAAAGUCGAAACGGAAACAAGAACACGAGAGAUUUAACGUGGUUCGGCGUAAGCCUACAUCCACGGGAGAGUAACGGAUCGAUUUACUUCAAUCACGAUCAAGAACUACAAUCAUACAACAAGAUCACACACUCAAGAACAAGCUACUCUCUCUUCGCAUAUGAACUCACAUCAAACCGAAGACUAUACAAGCUAGUUCCUCACAAAGAUAAACCUGGAGAUAUUCUCUCACUGAUCUAUGCGGCUUGCAUGAGCAUUUAUAGGAAUCGCAUCACCUCAUGCAGUUGCAACUGCCGCUGUAGCCGUUGCACAACUAAAUCUUGAACUCUUUCUUCUUGAUCAUGUGUUGCACACUCCACGCUCGGUUCCGAUGUACCAUCACUCGUUGUUAUCAUCACAAAAUUCCUAACAGGUCGAGGUCUGGAUCUUCAAGUGUCGGAUUGUUGGGGGCAAGGAGUUGUUGGUAAAACUCCACUGCGGACUUUUUAAUCUCGGCUUCCUCGGUGAGCUCCUGCCCAUUGGCACUAAUUGAGUGGAUGCGGAGAAGGACCCUCUUUUGUUUCACCCAGCUUUGAUAGAACCGGGUAUUUUUAUCUCCCUCGGCAAGCCACCUCAAGGCUGCCUUCUGUCGCAAAAAAUCUUCUUCCAUUCUCAACAAAAGGAUGUACUCGGCAAUGUGUUUGUUGAUUGCUGUCCUGUGAUUCGGUGUCGGCCUUGCCUCGAAACUAGCUUGAGCCACAGCAAUUUCUUCCUCCUUUUCCUUUAGGUUAGCAUGGAUGUUCCCAAAAACCUCUUUGUUCCACUCCUUAAGAGCCUUUUUAACUCUGGCCUGC